AGAGCGAACGCUGGCGGCAGGCUUAACACAUGCAAGUCGAACGAUCCUUCGGGAUAGUGGCGGACGGGUGAGUAACACGUGGGAACGUGCCUUUAGGUUCGGAACAACACAGGGAAACUUGUGCUAAUACCGGAUGUGCCCUUCGGGGGAAAGAUUUAUCGCCUUUAGAGCGGCCCGCGUCUGAUUAGCUUGUUGGUGAGGUAAAGGCUCACCAAGGCUACGAUCAGUAGCUGGUCUGAGAGGAUGGCCAGCCACAUUGGGACUGAGACACGGCCCAAACUCCUACGGGAGGCAGCAGUGGGGAAUCUUGCGCAAUGGGGGAAACCCUGACGCAGCCAUGCCGCGUGGAUGAUGAAGGUCUUAGGAUUGUAAAAUCCUUUCAGCGGGGACGAUAAUGACGGUACCCGCAGAAGAAGCCCCGGCUAACUUCGCGCCAGCAGCCGC
rnacentral:rRNA from 1 species